rnacentral:lncRNA from 1 species
AAGGCAGAGACUGUCCAAUUCCAGCAUCCUUACCUUUCAUGUCUCCAUGGUUCGACUUUGGAGUAGGGCUGGGAAGGUCUGAGAAAUCAAUCUCCUGACAAUCACCAGCAACAUCAACAAGCUGUGACCCCCCACCCACUGGACCGGAGGCUGUACUCCAGCUGGGGCCUGAAUCCUGAAUCGGAGCUUCUGAAGACAGAGACUGUUUAAUUCCAGCAUUCUCACGUUUCAAGUCUCCAUGGUUCAACUUUGGUGUUGGGCUGGCAACUUCAAGGCGUCCACCACCAUCCACUGAACAGGAAGCUGUACCCCACCUAGGGCCUGAAUCCCCAACAGGAGCUUCUGAAGGCGGCGACUGUUUGAUUCCAGCAUCCUGACUCUUCAAGUCUCCUCGGUUUGACUUUGGAGUGGGGCUGGGCAG